AAUUGAAUUCCUGAAUGAGGAAAAAAUAGCAGCCACUGACAUUCUUUGACAUUUGCUGAAUGUUUCUGGAGACCAAGCAGUGGAUGUAAGGCGGUGGGUAGUGCAUUUUAGCAGUGGCAACAACAACAGUGGGUUACCUCCACUGCUGCAGAUUUUUAUGAGUGCGGCAUGCAGGCUCUUGUUCAUCACUGGUUAAAAUGCAUAGCUAAUAGUGGUGACUACAUUGAGGAGCAGAAUUUUGUAGCUGAGAAUUUUCUCUAUCAAAUAAUGUUAUUAUGCUUUUUGUAUCUGUUAUAGUUUCCACUGAAAUAAAUAGAAGGCAAUACUUUCAGAGUAACCUAUGUACAUAUAUUUAGCAUAAACUUUAGCCCUUUUCUGUUUCAGGAAAGGAGAUACUCAGGAAGCUAGUGAGGUUAUUUCGUAUCUUUUUCUGUGUCUUGCAGUAGUUUCACUGAUCAAUGAGAUCAAUAGGAAACUCUCAAAAGUAGCUCACUCAAAGUUAGCAAAAACCAAGAGAUUUUUUUUUAAAUUUCCAAGUAAAUAGAUUUCCAAUUAUAUAAACAAAAUUUGUUUUUAAGCAUGAUAACCACUUGAAUAAUAUUUUUGAAAAUCAUAGCGGAAAAACAAAACAUGCUUCUUAGACCGGGGUAGACAAUGCAAUUUUGAGGAAAGUUAUCCAUUUAAAGGGAAAAAAAGGUUUGGCUAGAUGAGAUUGACCGAUUCCUUUGAAUAACUGGACUAUUCCUGUCUCCAGGCACCCAGAUGAAAAACUUGCCUCAGGAACUUCUUGCCAUUGUAUCCCAGUCACAAAUGUCCUCUGUACCUGUGCUUGGCAUAGGUGGCUCUCCACCUUGGACACUGUGCUGUUUUCAUACUCUUGUGCACCCAUGAAGAGAUUAGCAGCCUUGAUUACAACGUUUAGCUUUGCAUAUUAAUUAGUAGUUCUAUACAAAGCAGUUCACAAACCGGUUUUGAGUCUCUGGAUAUUCUGCCACUGGGGCUUUUGUGAGGUUUAAUGCUUGAAGUUGUCAAACUUGGAUGGCCAGGAGUAAGCAGUGAGAGCUGGUGGCCAUGACAGCAUGCCUGGCAUGCAGCUGAAGCUAAGGAUCUCAUCCACAUUCAUCUGCCGGGCUUCUGCGUGAAUCCUGAAUUUGGGCAGCAGCCUCGAGAGGGGAACACCUCAGAAGAAAACCUCCAGCAAGUUUCUCUGCAGGAAAUCAACUGAUAUAAGCAGCCUCAAAUAAAUCUUUAUCUGUGCCAUACAGUACAGAUGCUACUCGUUUCACAUUGUUCCUAUCUUGGUGUACUCCUAGGAAUGCAGGGACAGCCAUUUACAGUGCAGGUGUCUCAUUUAGCCUAGUGCUGCUCACUGAUAUAGCUGUUUAUUAUCAAAAAUAGUAACAAUGGUACUGAUCAAAAUGAUAAACAAGUCCCUUUCCCCUUAGAAGUUGCAGUUUGUUGCUGUGCUGUAUUUUGCUGCUGGCAGCUUUUCACCAGCAUCAAGUGGUUAAUACAAACUUGUCUCCAGUAUGAUUUGCCCCUUGGUGUGUUUAAUGAAGUCUGGGUAUAUCUGAGUACUGCUUUUACCUACGUGGUGUUUUUUUGUAUAGAUACUUGGCUUUCUGCAACCUCUCAUAACUACCUGUCUUAAUUGAUAUAAUCUGUGCAAUUGCAUUUUAUUUUUGAGGAUUUAUGCUCUUUUCUGGAUUAAGUUGGCUGUACCUGAUCUUGUUUCCCUUACUAAAAUCUAUUAAGCAAUUCUGAGAUUGCUGGUGGUGGUAGCAGUGAAUGUAGCAAAUGUAAAUGCUUUCAGAUUUUCCCUUUGGGAUUGUUCAUAUUUUGACAGAGUGCAUCUUACAAACAUACAGAAGUGGGAGAACUGCUAUGGUUUUUUGUCAGUGCAUACUUCUUGCUCACCAUUUUCACUUUCACCUUCAAGUUUGUUUUUGUCUCCUUAGCUAACCUGUCAAGCUAAUUUUGUGUGAGGAUGAAGUAAUACUUUACAGGAAUCAUCAGCUCACCUUCUGAACAUAGGAAGGCAAUAUUUUACCACAAAAACUCAAGCAACAAAGUGUUCAUUAAUACAGCCAGAACAGAGAAAAUCUUUUAUAUACACUCAUAGACAUGAGCUCCUAUUACUCUGCUCUUUGGCUGGUUCCCAUUAAUGUUGGGGUCAGAAGCAGGGGUGUUGGCAAGGACGGAUAACACAUGCCAUAUUCCAUCCCUAUGGCAAUCUCUUUUGAAAAGUGGUACUGGAGAGAAUGAGGCUGUUAAGGCUCUUCCUUAGAGUAAGAUAUGUGAUGUGCAUGAUGGGGGAGGAAAAGGCAGUAAGUUUCUCUGUGAGUAUCAAUAUCAAGUCAUUCAUUUUAUUUUUCAGCUGGUACGGCCAAGAAUUAAUGUUUUGGAGAAGUCUAUGCAUAUAUUUUAUAUCCCUGGAAUGCUAUUAAGCUGUCAGAGAUAGCUACAGAAUGUCACAUAGCCUUUGUAUUUUACCCACUGGCUUAAUUUUUUUAGUAUCUUUUGUAAUCUUAAAUGUUUUUACCUGUCAUUGUUCAGACCUUUGAUUCAAAUGUUAAGAACCCAGAUACCUUGUCUUGAUCUUCUUCAAGCUCCGUUGGUUACAAAUACAUCUUGAUAUUUUCUUAGGUUUAGUUCAGCAAGGAGAGCCUUUUGAUAUUUUACUACUUUCAUCCCGUGUUAAAACAGGCAUAUCUAAGUACAUAAUUGAAAGAUCAGUUCGGCAUUAAGCUUGAAGCAAAACUUUUGGUUUCACUGUUAAAUAUGGAUUUAUACAAUCUAUAUUUUUUUCAUGGGAAAUACUUAAACACAUUAUAAAUGUGAUUUUUUUUAAGGUAAAAAUCUUGGACAUUGUCGCUGCUUUGUUCCACUGCUUAAAAAGUGAAAUAAUCACUUUAUUUCUGGUGUAAAAAAAUAUAAUUGACGAGUAAAACUAUUACAAGACAGCAGAGUUUAAGUUAGUAUCUUGCCUCUACAGAAAAGUUAAAUUCUGAUGUUAUUUAUUUCAAGGAAAAGAAGAUGUUUUCAAGCAGCGUUUUUGAAAAAAGCUUUGGGAAGGGCAUGAAAUAGCCAAUACAGUUUAUUUGUCCUCUUCAGAAUAUGAAAAAUCCUCGAAAUGUACAUGCUUAACUGCAAAUCCCAAGCACAAAAACCAGUAAGCAUACGGACUUCUUUGUUCUUUCAUUGUUUCACCUUGAAUCUCCAGAUAAGAACAAGUUGAGAGAAGACUUGGUUAGAGUGGCAGGUCUGUUGGGAUCAUAUGCAAACCUUUGGACAAGAAUCCAGAGUCCAAAGAGUUCUGCUCAUCAUCAAGCCCAGGCCAAAACUAGGGAACAUCUGUGUUUACUUUUUUCGUGCCAAUCUUCAGUAUAACUGCAAUAGUUAAGUAGGAAAAUCUCAAGCUGUGAUGCUAGCUUACUCUGCAUCUCCAGAGAAUUUUACUUCCCAUUCCCCAUAAAUCAAUUUAUAGUGACAUGUCUUGCAGAUGGUCCACCAGUGACCAAACAUUUUGUGCAGCUGUCCAUUUAUCAGGCAUUCAGGUUCUAGGGUGUAAUAUCAAAUUUUAUUUACUGGCCACUCAAUUAAUGGAAGAACUGCUUUGAUUUAUAGUUGCCUAAUUUUAUGAAGAGAGAUCAGUGCUGUUGCACUCAGACAAAAUAGCCCUUUCAUUUCAUGCUCAGGGCUCUAGCCAGGUGCCCAGCAGUGUUUCAUUCUAUGAAUUACCAGUCUGUGCCUUCUAAAACGAUUAGCAUAAUGCUGAGGAGGGACUCUGGCAAACUGAGAUGUAAGCAAAGAUAAUAGGAACAGUUAGCUGGAAGCUGCAGGAUGGAGAAAGAGUUCUUAACUGAUAUUGAUUGUUAUGGCUCAGGCAGAUGUUAAACAUGCACAACAGCCAAUUACAGCACAAUUAGAAUUAUAGAACAACCUCACAUAAUGGGAAAAUUGGUGAGGGUAAUGUGAUGAAGAAGGGAACUAUUCUCUCCUUUUAUCUUGAGAAGUGCCGCUCUUUCUGCUCUCAUGGACAGUUAAAUCAGAUCUUUUGUUUGCCUUCAGCCAAGAUGUUCCUUCUUUCUUUCCUCCCAGAAAACCCAUGCUUAAUGAGAAAAAAAAGGGUAGUAUUGUGAAUUUGGGAAGAAGUCUCAAUGGAGUAGGGAGGGGAAAUGCAAAUAAAAUCUCAACUGAUGUUAA